UACAGAGGGUGCGAGCGUUGUCCGGAAUUACUGGGCGUAAAGGGCGCGUAGGCGGCCCGGUGCGCGUGCCGUGAAAGCCCGGGGCUCAACCCCGGGUCGGCGGUGCGGACGGCCGGGCUGGAGCACAUCAGAGGCAGGCGGAAUUCCGGGUGUAGCGGUGGAAUGCGUAGAGAUCCGGAAGAACACCGGUGGCGAAGGCGGCCUGCUGGGGUGUGGCUGACGCUGAGGCGCGACAGCGUGGGGAG
rnacentral:rRNA from 1 species